CUAUAAAAAGUUAUGUUUCAAAAGAAGGAUGUGGGAAGAAAGGGAAGUAGGGAAGGAAAUGGUAUUUUAAACCAUAUUAAAGUAAGAAACAGGUUUCCUAAUUCUUACAGCCUUAAUUAGUCCUUUUUUUUUUUUUUUGAAGUUAAACAAAAUGGAUUAAUCUCAAAACAUUGCAUUAAAUUUGCCACAGUUCCUGCUCUUCUAUUUGUGUGGGUAGGACUUUCACAGAAGACCUCAGCAGUAAUGACCAUAAAACAAGGACAGCAGCCCAACACACAGCGAACAACCCAUCAGUAAUAAACCGGAGUGUGCAGCUCAGAGCAACACUCCAGUAACAAAUUAGUUAGUGUGUGCGGCCCAGUGCCGAAGAACAACCCAACAAUAACAAACCAGUGUGUGCAACCCAAAGCACUCAAGAGCAACCCAACAAUAACAAACCAGCUUGCAUGCCUGAUGGGAGAAAAGAAAUUCAGUAAGGAAACGGAUUUCAGGCUGAAUUUUCCAAGGGGUUAUUAUUAUUAACAACAGAGAGUUAAACUAUUAAUGUUUAAAUUAAGAAUAAUACCUUCUGGAGCCCAGUCCGGCUUCCAUUGACUUUAAUGGGACUAGGAAUGGACCCAAAGUACCCUUAAGGGAUUUAGCCAGUGUGGAGAACAAACUUUUACCUACAACUAAUGAGCCCACCAUGGCAAAUGGAAAUUUUGCUCAUCUCCGCUGGAUAAUGUGAGCUGGCCUUUAUGGGGAAAUGGAAACUGUUUAAGUCCUGGCACCAAGACUGUGCUUAUGGUAACCUGCUCUCAGAUGCUACCGAGCUGGAUGAGGGUUAGAUCAUCUAACGUGAGGAUGCCUUUUCACCUCAGUGUUUUCCUGCUACGAUGAAAUUCCCAGACGGUCCUUCAAGCAGGAUAAAAGAAGGCUAGACCCACUCUGCAGCUGACAUAAAUCAUUCCUUAUUGCAUGAACCCCCUCCCAGCAUUCCUUCACGAACACACACACACAUACACCAUUAUAUAUAUAUAUGAUGGUGUAAAUAUAUUAUGGUUAUGUUUUCAAGUCCAAAUUCAUCAUCUGGGCCUCCCUCUGCAGAAACCCUCCCUGUCAAAGCAAGCUCACCCACACCCUGCUGAGAGGGAUCUGACUCGUGAGGUCCUGGAUACAGUCCGGAAAGCUCAGACCGAGCCAGCCUGCUCGAACUUCACAGCUUGAGCCCAUCUCUGAUAGAGUUUAUACCUCCCAGAUGCAACCAGACUGGAACAACAGGCAUCUAUCAGAAGGGAUCCUGAGGAGAAGGCAUGGUGAAUCAGAGCUGUGAAGUCCCUAAAAUUCCAGAUCGUCGCUCUGAUCUCACGCUGUUAACACUGUUACUAACACCCACACGACAGAUAGGGGCUCCGAAGAUAUCCAGACAACACAAAGCAGAUACCCUACAUGAUAUUAUUACUGGCAUGCUAUGAAUCUUAUUACUUUCAGCUACUAUCAGUGGAGGAAUGACCUCUCUGCAAUGCAAAUGCAACCAAAAACCACAGCCCCCGGCCCUUUUUCAAACUGAAAUUUCCUAAUCUCACACUACUCUAUCAAACACACAAAUAUGCAACAAUGGAUGGAAAGAAAAUAAGGCUUCUCUAUAUGAGAGCUGGAUUAGAAAGGAAUGACUGGAAAACCUAAAUUGUAGUACAAGAGCAUUCCAGCUUGGGGAUCUGAUGACACUGCGCCGAGCUCUGCUCCUGUGGUUUACAGUACCACCAGACUGUAUAACUUACUAGAACAGUAACCUUGCAUUAAACGGUUUCAUCUGCA